CUGACUCUGUGUGUUUGCAUAUGUGUCCUGCCUCUCUGCUCACAGCUGUUAAGAGGCCAGUGUUGAUCAGUGGCUGUCCAGGCCUUUCAGAGCCACUCACACACCAGCAGCACAAUGAUGAUGUCACUGACUCUACUGCUGGCCACCCUGGGGCUCCUUGUUCAGGGUUCAUCUGGAGACAUCGUCCUGACUCAGACUCCUAAAGUUCAGUCUGCUGUUCUAGGACAGACUGUCUCUAUCAGAUGUAAAGCCAGUUCAAGUAUGAGUAACUACCUCCACUGGUAUCUUCAGAAACCAUCAGAAGCUCCUAAACUGCUCAUUUAUUAUGCAACAAGCCGUCAGUCUGGAGUUUCUGAUCGUUUCAGUGGAAGUGGAUCUGGGACUGACUUCACUUUGACCAUCAGUGGAGUUCAGGCUGAAGAUGCAGGAGUUUAUUACUGUCAGCAGGAUUACAGCCGCCCGUUCACACAGUGAAAAACUGUCAUACAAAAACCUCUCAGCUGAAGAGGAACUGAUCUGAAGCAACAGCUGCAGAACAAACUAAAAGACUGGGAGGAAUGAUUACUUUAAUAUUUACUGUGAAAUUUUAUUUGUGUACACUCAGUUUAAGUUUAACGUUCAUAAAUUUAUCAAAAAAGUUUUUAAUAACAUGAAAAAAACAAAACAAAAAAACAUGAAGUGGUGUCCCCGAAUAAAAACAUAAAUGUUUAAUGAGUUACAGAAUACGGACACAACACUGGCUCCAGAUUUUUAACACAUGAACAUUAUUUUUAGAUGACUAUUCUUCUCUGUAAUCUGACUCAUUCUUAGUUUCUACAUUUAUAACAAUGAGUUCCAAUGAAAAGACAUAACUGGAAGGUUCACAAAGAAAAAAAAAUUGUUUUUGCUCAUUAAAUAUUUUUAUAUUAAUCCAAGUUGUAAAAUAUAACAAGCUGUUAUUAACAACACAAAUACUGUUGUCAGUGUUUCUGCACUGAUAAGUAGCUCUUUUCUAUUUGUAAGCUGUUAAAUAUUAAACUGAUCCUUCUGUGGAGCUCAGCUGCAGUUCUUCAUCACACAAAUCCAAAAAAUCACUGUCGUCACAUCACAACUAGUGUCUAUAAUAUUCUAAUAUUCUGCUGAAUAACAAAUGACGCAGGCUGUUAUAACCGUAUUUGUAGGGAAUGUGUUCAUUCUCAUGUCAGUGAAGAUUUAGCCUCAUUUGGAUAUUUCCAGCACAAACGAAUCACUGUUACUGUUGUAAAAACCUAAAGUUAUUUAGUCAGUUUAGUCGAUUUCCAAAGUAUUAAUGUAGACAGAACAAAGAACUAAAAAGUUUCUCUUUAAAAUAAUAUUUUACUAAUGCUUAAAAGUACGACAUUAAUAUAAAGUCCUACCUAAAUCUGAAACCAAUGAAAAUAAGAUGUGAUCAUCCUCCUGACAGACUGUGGUCUUUUUCUUGUUUUAAGAGGUUUAGUGAAGUGAGUUUCUCUCAUUUUGCUGUAAAGACUAGAAGAGAUUAACUUUUAUGUAAGUUGAUUAAAGCAGACCUGUAGUUUCUCACCUGCCUGCGUUCCUGUGUGUUUGUUCUGUUAGUCUGUUCUCGCCGCCUUCUGUGAGUCACUCAGCCUCUGUUUUGUGUGCUUUAAAUCUCAGACUCCUUAUCUCCACCUCAUCCUGGACAAUUAGAGAUCCUAAGUCUCCACCUGCUUCAUCUCUGCCACCACCAGCUUCUAGACUCUUCUCUGCUUUGUUGCUUCAUCAGAGUUUCACUGCCAAAUAGUUCAUUAAUCAAACUUCAGUAAAUCUGCAUUUAAAUGAUCUCUGUUUAAACAUACAGAUGACACCCUGCUCUUUAAUUUUACUUAUUGGGUUUUAGGUCAGAUUAAAAUGUAGAUCAUAAAACAGCUUUGAGACUAGAAAUUAUGAUGAGCACACAGAUUAUCUAUGGUUGACAUGACCU